UGCUGAUUCUCCAAGGAGGGAGAUUGCUAGUAAAGCGGCUGGAAUGGCCAACCCGAGCACAAGGAGAUGAGAAAUGAGGACAAAUUGCAACCUGUACGGAACAGGAGGUUAAAGGUGCUGAUUCUCCAAGGAGGGAGAUUGCUAGUAAAGCGGCUGGAAUGGCGAACCCGAGCACAAGGAGAUGAGAAAUGAGGACAAAUUGCCACCUGUACGGAACAGGAGGUUAAAGGUGCUGAUUCUCCAAGGAGGCAGGUUGCUAGUAAAGAGGCUGGAAUGGCGAACCCGAGCACAAGGAGAUGAGAAAUGAGG